GAUGAACGCUAGCGGCAGGCCUAACACAUGCAAGUCGAGGGAGAGGUUACUUUCGGGUAACCAAAACCGGCGCACGGGUGCGUAACGCGUAUACAAUCUGCCUUUCACAUAGGGAUAGCCCGAAGAAAUUUGGAUUAAUACCUAAUGGUAUAUAAGAGCGGCAUCGUUUUUAUAUUAAAGCUACGGUGGUGAAAGAUGAGUAUGCGUUCUAUUAGCUAGUUGGAGAGGUAACGGCUCCCCAAGGCGACGAUAGAUAGGGGUUCUGAGAGGGAUGUCCCCCACACUGGUACUGAGAUACGGACCAGACUCCUACGGGAGGCAGCAGUGAGGAAUAUUGGACAAUGGUCGGAAGACUGAUCCAGCCAUGCCGCGUGCAGGAUGAAGGUCCUAUGGAUUGUAAACUGCUUUUGUAAGGGAAGGAUAAGGAGUACGUGUACUUUGAUGACGGUACCUUACGAAUAAGCAUCGGCUAACUCCGUGCCAGCAGCCGCGGUAAUACGGAGGAUGCGAGCGUUAUCCGGAAUCAUUGGGUUUAAAGGGUCCGUAGGCGGGCUGAUAAGUCAGAGGUGAAAGCGCUUAGCUCAACUAAGCAACUGCCUUUGAAACUGUCAGUCUUGAAUGAUUGUGAAGUAGUUGGAAUGUGUAGUGUAGCGGUGAAAUGCUUAGAUAUUACACAGAACACCGAUAGCGAAGGCAUAUUACUAACAAUUUAUUGACGCUGAUGGACGAAAGCGUGGGGAGCGAACAGG
rnacentral:rRNA from 1 species